GACGAACGCUGGCGGCGUGCUUAACACAUGCCAGUCGAACGGAAAGGCCCUGCUUUUGUGGGGUGCUCGAGUGGCGAACGGGUGAGUAACACGUGAGUAACCUGCCCUUGACUUUGGGAUAACUUCAGGAAGCUGGGGCUAAUACCGGAUAGGAGCUCCUGCUGCAUGGUGGGGGUUGGAAAGUUUCGGCGGUUGGGGAUGGACUCGCGGCUUAUCAGCUUGUUGGUGGGGUAGUGGCUUACCAAGGCUUUGACGGGUAGCCGGCCUGAGAGGGUGACCGGCCACAUUGGGACUGAGAUACGGCCCAAACUCCUACGGGAGGCAGCAGUGGGGAAUAUUGCAAAAUGGGCGGAAGCCUGAUGCAGCAACGCCGCGUGCGGGAUGACGGCCUUCGGGUUGUAAACCGCUUUCGCCUGUGACGAAGCGUGAGUGACGGUAAUGGGUAAAGAAGCACCGGCUAACUACGUG
rnacentral:rRNA from 1 species